rnacentral:lncRNA from 1 species
AUGUCACCCAGCAAGGCAGGGCAGAGUAAGACAGAAGUCUAGUCAUCUCACUCUCAGUUGUCAGAGAGACCCUCACAGCCAAUUCCUACCACAACUCCUUGCCUCUCUUUGUGUCUAUUUCUAUUUAUUGAUUAAUGAUUAUUUAUUGAGCACCUAGUAUGUGCUUGAUUCUAAGCUGAGCACUUCUCCUCCUCCGCUUCCCUGACCACUUCCUGCAUUUCUCCAUCAUACCAUCCUUGAUGAGUCAGGGACCAAAAUGACCCCCAACUGCAGUGCCUCCCUGACCCAAAAGACCCCGAGACUCUCACCUGCUUCCCAAUUGAAGUGUGGACUCCCACAGGGAAGCUAAGCUGUCCACAUCUCGCCGCAGGGCACAGGCCUCUAGGACUCUCUCCAGCCAGGCUGGGUCUAGCUACUGCCUGAGGCACACUUCCUCCACCACAGAGGUGUUCUGCACCCAGGCCUCCUGGAGAAUGUAGGCCACUGAACACUAACACACAACUUACUUUGGUCACAGAAGGAUGAUGGGGACAGAGGUAUGACAGGUUUUGAGGAGCAGUGGGAGCUGGGCUCUCGGUGAGUGGGUGGUGGAGAGAAUGAAUGAAAGUGAGCUUGGCUGAGAUAAUGAGGGGUGGAAAGGCAGUGAGGACGGGGGACUUUCAGGAUGAUGGGGACAUUCUAACAGGCAGGGGGUGGCCUCACUUUGAUGCUUAUGAACCCCUCCACCUUUGACAGCUCCCCAAAGAGGAAGGAUGGCAGGGAGGACUCCUGUGUUCCCACUGGACCGACUACAGCCAGGAAAAAGCCCUGGGGCAUGGGCUCCAUGGCAGUCUCCAAUCUUCAAAUCUUCAAUCUAUGAAGGCACAGAUUCCUCAAAGAAUGACCUCAAAUGACCAAGAGUAGCGCUCUAUAUCCCUGCUCCUGAAUAACAAGCCAACUGGAGUGUCUGUCAACUACCCUCAGCAUAGACACACCUCCAAUUACCCAAGUGAACUUCAUGACUAAUUGGCCAGUCACUCAUGCCCCUGACCCAGCCUACAUGAACAUUGGAAGGCCAUAAGUGAAUUAUAAAAAGAAGCAGAGGUGAGGAGGCACCUGCCCUGGGCUACAGAUCUAUGUAGUUCAGCAAUCUCCAGUCCCUAGUACUCAAGAAGCUCUAAGCCACCCUUCUGUAAGUCAGAAUGGAAGCACAUGAUACCACAUUUCUAUCUGCUGUAGACACUCUUCCCAGUGUCUCAAAAUGUUUUAGUAUCUCUCGGUAAAAAUCUUCAGGUUUGUCGGUUAUUGAUUUAAAAAAUAAAGGAAUCUGUUUAAUGCUCCCUUGAACCCUCUAUUUUAAUGUGCCUUUGUAAAUUCCCAACGUCUUGUGUUUUCAUCUUUGUAAUUUAUCUUUAUUAAACUUGUCAUAAACUCCAAUAUUCUGAUCUCUUACUGAAGAAUCUGUAUUCCUAUCCAAUCCAGUGUUGUUUCUCUUCAAACCUAGCCUUCCCUGCUCAUUCCAUUUUUAGCCAAUUCCAGUGUGUUCACCAGUUAAUUUCAUCCUCAUUUUAUCCACUGGGUGCACCAGACUCCCUUCCCCUUUGUAUCAUCAUCAUCAUCAUCAUCAUCAUCAUUAUUAUCUGAGACAGAGUCUCGCUCUGUCACCAGGCUAGAGUGCAAUGGCAGGAUCUUGGCUCACUGCAACUUCUGCCUCCUGUGUCCAAGCAAUUCUCCUACCUCAGCCUCCCAAAUAGCUGGAAGUACAGGCGCCCACCACCAUGCCCAGCUAAUUUAUUUUGUAGUUUUAGUUGACAGAUUUUCACCAUUUUAGCCAGGAGGGUCUGAAUCUCUUGACCUCAUAAUCUGCCUGCCUCAGCCUCCUAAAGUGCUGGGAUUACAGGUGUGAGCCACCCUUGCACCGCUGUAAUCCCAGCUAUUUGGGAGGCUGAGGCAGGAGAAUCGCUAGAACCCAGGCAGCAGAGGUUGCAGUGAGCCGAGACUGCACCACUGCACUCAAGCCUGGGUGAGACAGCAAGACUCUGUCAUAGCAACAACAACAAAUGCCCAUAAAAUAAAAUAAAAAAGGGUGAGUACAGGCCUUUAAAAUGAGUUUAAAUCUCAUUUCUGCCACUUCCUAUGUCCAAAAAGAAAACUAUCCUAAUCUAUUUGAGUCUCAGAUUCCCUAUCUAGAGAAACACUUGACCACAAUGUUUAACACACAUUGAAGUACUAGAGGUUAAUUAGUCUUAUGAUUCCUUAAAAUUCUGAAACUCUUCAUGCUUUUGAUUGUCUACAGGAAAACUGGGGAUACAAAGCCAGCAGAAUUUGAAAAAUAAUAGAACAAAACAAACACCAAAAGCAGAGAAGAACAUUUUAAAACAUCCAGAGAAGGUUAUAGAAAUCUAGUGGAAAAGGAAAACACGACUGAAAAAAAAAGUACUGUGGAAGGCAGAAAUACUAGCCUAAAGGGAAAACCAAACUGGGAAGUCAAAUAAUUUCUAAGACUUGUCUAAUCUUGGUUUUGUAAAAUUUACAAUCCUAUGGCCAAACCUUUACCCUGCCCUAAAGCCUUUGAUGGUAAAGAUAUUGGUUACCACUGCAAUUGUUGAAUUUAUUAGGACAAACUCUUAGACCAACUUCAUUUCUCACAAUAACCUUAAAUGAGAGUUAACCUAUAACUAGAUUUGACUGUACUAAUUAAUCUGAUUCUAACAUAUAUCUUGAUCCAGCAGCUGCACAGAUCUUUAUCCAUCUAUGUUGAGGAGCAAAAGAAAGAUUUGGAAGCCAGGAAGGCUGAUGGUUUAACUGUGAGUCAGCUACUUUUUUAACUAUGGGGUCAUGGGCCAAUUAACCAACCUCUCUAAAUCACAGUUGCCUAUUUAAUAAACAGUAGGUUAUAAGAACGCAGAUGUUGUGAUGGCUUUAUGAGAUAAAUGCAUAGCACAUAAUAGGGUGGUUAGCCCAGAAUACAAUACUCAAAAGAUAUUAGUUUCUUCUCUCUAUAUUUCCUCAGUUAAUAAAAUUUUUUAAAAUCCUACCUGACUGCAGAUGGGUCAGAACUGCCAGAAUUUAUUAAAGGAAAAGGUAAAAUGCAUUGCAAAUCAAUAAUAAAUAUAUAGAAUAUUAAAAACAUAAGAAGGCAAAGUCAUGCAUGCCUGUAAUCUCAACUACUUGGGAGAUGGAGGCAGAAGGAUCACUUGAGAAACCCAGAAGUUUGAGACCAGUUUGGGAAACAUAGCAAGACACUACCUUCAUAAAAAAAUUACACACACUUGUGUGCAUGCUUUAGACCAUUUUUCUUUAAAGUAUAGUACUGAUGCUUUGUUACAAAGCGUUCCUCUGGGAGCAUACCUGAGACCUUCUUAGAAUUAAUAUAAAUUAUACCUAUUGGUAUGUGCAGUAAGAACUCUUGCUUCCCUUACUUUGUAUUUAUUAAUUGCAAAGAAUAAAUUUUAUCAAAAUUUGAUAUCUACAAGUAAACUGCAUUAUACAAGUCAUCUUAAACCAUAUGAAAUUGACUAAAAAUGGCAUUGUUAUCAGAACAGGUGUGAUGAGUGACCAGUGUUAAAGAGCAUGAUUUCUGAACCAAAAUAUGAAGGGCAGUUAAAACAGAGUAUACA